rnacentral:lncRNA from 1 species
AACUUCUCAAAUGACUUCCAUUUAUAAACCAAAAUCUAGAAUCGAAGUGAAACAAAAGACUAUUAUUUCGAGAUGCUAAAUAAACCUGAUAUCCAUUGAAAUUAUGAAACCUCCAUAUAUAUAUAUAUAUAUAUACUAUUCUGAUAUGUGAAAAAGAAAAAGAGCAAUCCAAAAGAAGAAGGAAACUUUUGAACACUGAUCAACCAAGAACUCUAGAAAUGUUUUUGUUUACCUCUCCAAACUUUCGAAAAAAAUUCUCUCAAAAAACAACCUCUGAAAAAAUAUCUCCCCAAAAUAUCCUCUCCAAAAUCAGUCAGAGGACCCCCUUUUAUACCCCAAACCUAGAAGUUUCCUCAAAAAUCCAAAAAUAUUCCUCUCUAGAACGAAUUCGGACAGAUGGAGAGAAGGAAUCGAUCCAAAAUCAAUCUACGGUCCCCCAUUUUAGGAAUUCAUUCUCAAAAAAGCACAUGGGAUGGGAAACAUCCGACAGAGACCAUUAGAAUCUUGCAGACGAGGAGCGAGGGAGAAUGUGUGAGGGAUUUUGAGCUCACUCAUUAGGGAUUUGGGCGUUUGAGAGUGGAUUUGGGUGAGGAAGUGGUGAACCUCGGCGUCUCUAAUCUUAGGAGAUUAGGCUCUGUGAGUGAGUUUUAGUGAGUAUAUCUGGGGGCGGGUCGGGUUAGUGGAUGGGUUGGUCUUAUUGGGCUGGAAGUGAGGCGGAAAUGGCUAAGUUGGUUGGGCAUCAGGUGGGUUAGGAAUGCAUUGGGCUUGGGGGUUUUGAGUUUAAAUGGCCCAAAUUUCCAAUUCUCUUUGUGUUCCUC